GUAGGUGCCUAUCUCUUUAAGAGAGCCUCCGCACACGUGAUUCAUCAAAGUGCCCGCAGUCCGCCGCCCGGGCUCGGAAAGCUGCUUCCUACUCCCGCUGCCGGGCGGCCCGGCUACUGAGCAUGCCCGGCGCGGCGACGGCUGCCAAAUGAGAGGACUUGAAGCUGAGGUUAAGCACUGAUUUCCCUUCCUAGGGGCCUAGCGUGAAAUGGAAGGGAACUAGCCGAGAGAGAGGAGGUGUAGCCCAUUUUAGAGACGGAAACACUGAGGCCUGGGAGGAUUCACGUGUGGUAAACUACCCAAGGACAGCAGAGAAGAGGGGAUACAUGCUCCCAGACAGGGUGGGCAAGGAGCCCUAAGAUAAUUCCUGUUUGAGAGACAUGGAUAUGAGCCACAGCUGAGGGUGCUCCGAGCUCAAAUGUUGCUUCGUAAUCUGCUCAGUAGAUCUUCAUUGAGCUUCUUAGAGCAGGGGUACCCAACCUCUGGGAUCUAAUGCCUGAUGAUCUGAGGUGGAGCUGAGGUAAUAAUAAUAGAAAUAAAGUGCAUA